rnacentral:rRNA from 1 species
AGAGUUUGAUCCUGGCUCAGGAUGAACGCUGGCGGCGUGCCUAACACAUGCAAGUCGAGCGAUCUUCUUCGGAAGAGAGCGGCGGACGGGUGAGUAACGCGUGGGUAACCUGCCCUGUACACACGGAUAACAUACCGAAAGGUAUGCUAAUACGGGAUGACAUAUGAAAGUCGCAUGGCUUUUAUAUCAAAGCUCCGGCGGUACAGGAUGGACCCGCGUCUGAUUAGCUAGUUGGUAAGGUAACGGCUUACCAAGGCGACGAUCAGUAGCCGACCUGAGAGGGUGAUCGGCCACACUGGAACUGAGACACGGUCCAGACUCCUACGGGAGGCAGCAGUGGGGAAUAUUGCACAAUGGGCGAAAGCCUGAUGCAGCAACGCCGCGUGAGCGAUGAAGGCCUUCGGGUCGUAAAGCUCUGUCCUCAAGGAAGAUAAUGACGGUACUUGAGGAGGAAGCCCCGGCUAACUACGUGCCAGCCGCCGCGGUAAUUC